GAUGAACGCUGGCGGCGUGCCUAAUACAUGCAAGUCGAGCGAACAGACGAGGAGCUUGCUCCUCUGGCGUUAGCGGCGGACGGGUGAGUAACACGUGGAUAACCUACCUAUAAGACUGGGAUAACUUCGGGAAACCGGAGCUAAUACCGGAUAAUAUAUUGAACCGCAUGGUUCAAUAGUGAAAGACGGUUUUGCUGUCACUUAUAGAUGGAUCCGCGCCGCAUUAGCUAGUUGGUAAGGUAACGGCUUACCAAGGCAACGAUGCGUAGCCGACCUGAGAGGGUGAUCGGCCACACUGGAACUGAGACACGGUCCAGACUCCUACGGGAGGCAGCAGUAGGGAAUCUUCCGCAAUGGGCGAAAGCCUGACGGAGCAACGCCGCGUGAGUGAUGAAGGUCUUCGGAUUGUAAAACUCUGUUAUUAGGGAAGAACAAAUGUGUAAGUAACUAUGCACGUCUUGACGGUACCUAAUCAGAAAGCCACGGCUAACUACGUG
rnacentral:rRNA from 1 species